rnacentral:rRNA from 1 species
UAUCGGAACGUGCCCAGUCGUGGGGGGUAACUGCUCGAAAGAGCAGCUAAUACCGCAUACGACCUGAGGGUGAAAGCGGGGGAGUCGCAAGACCUCGCGCGAUUGGAGCGGCCGAUAUCAGAUUAGGUAGUUGGUGAGGUAAAGGCUCACCAAGCCGACGAUCUGUAGCUGGUCUGAGAGGACGACCAGCCACACUGGGACUGAGACACGGCCCAG